CAGAGAGAGAGAGACUCUCUCCGCAAACACUUUCCAAAGCAAAGCGUACUACCACCGCCUUCUUCUCUCUUCACCAUCAACUUCAACACUCAAAAAGAACCCAAAUUCACAAUAUUCUUCUGAAUCUGGGUUUGAAAAUGCCGCUAUAUAAAAGAAAGCCAUUUGCUUUGGUGGAAAAACCAAAGGAUUUGAAGCCUAAUGACCUCGUGUUCCAAGUUCGUUUUACUAAAGAGAUAUUUAAGGAUUAUAGUGAAUAUCUGAGACGGAUGAACCUGUAUCGCCAUAGAGUAUGGUCAUGCAAAUCGACAGGAAAGAAUAACUUGACUUACGAGGAGGCAUUGGUUUCAGAGAAGAAGGCUGCAGAAGAAGUUCAGAAGUUCCCCGAG